rnacentral:lncRNA from 10 species
UGUAAUCCCAGCACUUUGGGAGGCCGAGGCAGGCGGACCAUGAGGUCAGGAGAUCGAGACCAUCCUGGCUGACGUGGUGAAACCUCGUCUCUACUAAAAAUACAAAAAAUUAGCCGGGCGUGGUGGCGGGCGCCUGUUGUCCCAGCUACUUGGGAGGCUGAGGCAGGAGAAUGGUGUAAACCCGGGAGGCGGAGUUUGCAGUGAGCCGAGAUC